AGUAACACGUGGGUAACCUGCCCAUCAGAGGGGGAUAACAUUCGGAAACGGAUGCUAAAACCGCAUAGGUCUUCGAACCGCAUGGUUUGAAGAGGAAAAGAGGCGCAAGCUUCUGCUGGUGGAUGGACCCGCGGUGCAUUAGCUAGUUGGUGAGGUAACGGCCCACCAAGGCCGUGAUGCAUAGCCGACCUGAGAGGGUGAUCGGCCACAUUGGGACUGAGACACGGCCCAA
rnacentral:rRNA from 1 species